rnacentral:rRNA from 1 species
GGCUGGGGAUAACAUUUGGAAACAGAUGCUAAUACCGAAUAAAACUUAGUAUCGCAUGAUACAAAGUUAAAAGGCGCUACGGCGUCCCCUAAAGAUGGAUCCCCGGUGCAUUAGUUAGUUGGGGGGGUAAAGGCUUACCAAGACGAUGAUGCAUAGCCCAAUUGAGAGACUGAUCGGCCACAUUGGGACUGAAACCCGGCCCAAACUCCUACGGGAGGCUGCAGUAGGGAAUCUUCCCCAAUGGGCGCAAGCCUGAUGGAGCAACGCCCCGUGUGUGAUGAAGGCUUUCGGGUCGUAAAGCACUGUUGUAUGGGAAGAAAUGCUAGAAUAGGGAAUGAUUUUAGUUUGACGGUACCAUACCAGAAAGGGACGGCUAAAUACGUGCCAGCAGCCGCGGUAAUACGUAUGUCCCGAGCGUUAUCCGGAUUUAUUGGGCGUAAA